CAAAAAAAGGCACCUUCUUGGUCAUUAAAGACCUAGCAAUAGGUAUGCUUAGGGAGGAGCUUGCGUCACAUUAGUUAGUUGGUGGGGUAAAGGCCUACCAAGACUAUGAUGUGUAGCCGGGCUGAGAGGUUGAACGGCCACAUUGGGACUGAGACACGGCCCAAACUCCUACGGGAGGCAGCAGUAGGGAAUUUUCGGCAAUGGAGGAAACUCUGACCGAGCAACGCCGCGUGAACGAUGAAGUAUUUCGGUACGUAAAGUUCUUUUAUUAGGGAAGAAUAAAUGAUGGAAAAAUCAUUCUGACGGUACCUAAUGAAUAAGCCCCGGCUAACUAUGUGCCAGCAGCCGCGGUAAUACAUAGGGGGCAAGCGUUAUCCGGAAUUAUUGGGCGUAAAGGGUGCGUAGGCGGUUAAAUAAGUUUAUGGUCUAAGUGCAAUGCUCAACAUUGUGAUGCUAUAAAAACUGUUUAGCUAGAGUAAGAUAGAGGCAAGUGGAAUUCCAUGUGUAGUGGUAAAAUGCGUAAAUAUAUGGAGGAACACCAGUAGCGAAGGCGGCUUGCUGGGUCUUUACUGACGCUGAGGCACGAAAGCGUGGGGAGCAAACAGGAUUAGAUACCCUGGUAGUCCACGCCGUAAACGAUGAGUACUAAACGUUGGGUAAAACCAGUGUUGAAGUUAACACAUUAAGUACUCCGCCUGAGUAGUACGUACGCAAGUAUGAAACUUAAAGGAAUUGACGGGACUCCGCACAAGCGGUGGAUCAUGUUGUUUAAUUUGAAGGUACCCGAAAAACCUCACCAGGUCUUGACAUGCUUCUGCAAAGCUGUAGAAACACAGUGGAGGUUAUCAGUUGCACAGGUGGUGCAUGGUUGUCGUCAGCUCGUGUCGUGAGAUGUUGGGUUAAGUCCCGCAACGAGCGCAACCCUUAUUGUUAGUUACCAGCACGUAAUGGUGGGGACUUUAGCAAGACUGCCAGUGAUAAAUUGGAGGAAGGUGGGGACGACGUCAAAUCAUCAUGCCCCUUAUGACCUGGGCUACAAACGUGAUACAAUGGCUGUUACAAAGGGUAGCUGAAGCGCAAGUUUUUGGCGAAUCUCAAAAAAACAGUCUCAGUUCGGAUUGAAGUCUGCAACUCGACUUCAUGAAGUUGGAAUCGCUAGUAAUCGCGAAUCAAGCCAGGUUCCCCGGGGA
rnacentral:rRNA from 1 species